AGUGAACGCUGGCGGUAGGCCUAACACAUGCAAGUCGAACGGCAGCACAGUAAGAGCUUGCUCUUACGGGUGGCGAGUGGCGGACGGGUGAGGAAUACAUCGGAAUCUACUUUUUCGUGGGGGAUAACGUAGGGAAACUUACGCUAAUACCGCAUACGACCUAUGGGUGAAAGCAGGGGAUCUUCGGACCUUGCGCGAUUGAAUGAGCCGAUGUCGGAUUAGCUAGUUGGCGGGGUAAAGGCCCACCAAGGCGACGAUCCGUAGCUGGUCUGAGAGGAUGAUCAGCCACACUGGAACUGAGACACGGUCCAGACUCCUACGGGAGGCAGCAGUGGGGAAUAUUGGACAAAGGGCGCAAGCCUGAUCCAGCCAUACCGCGUGGGUGAAGAAGGCCUUCGGGUUGUAAAGCCCUUUUGUUGGGAAAGAAAAGCAGCAGGUUAAUACCCCGCUGUUCUGACGGUACCCAAAGAAUAAGCACCGGCUAACUUCGUG
rnacentral:rRNA from 1 species